rnacentral:lncRNA from 1 species
CUUAAUGGCAUGCAUGGACCGCGCAUGGCGCAACUCGAUGUUCAUCGGUGGUGGUGUGUGUACUCCCGGUGAUGCAAGUCGUGUCCGCAUAUAAGAGUAUAAUAGGUCGCCUAUACACCGAUACGUCAGAUACGUCACCGAUACACGUAUUCAUGGAGUAACCUGUUUUUUGAUUUCAAAAGAAAGAAAGAAAUACUUAUACGGCCGCCGGAACGGCGUCGGCACACCGGGGACACCGGAAGGCCAGUGCAAGCCCACUCGUAAGUCGUAACCUGAACAGCUAGCGCAUCGCCGCCGCGGAUGACUGGAGUCGCUCAUUGCCGCCGCCGACGCCGCAGACGCCACCUCGAGUCGCUCGUCGCUGCUCCCGCCGUCUGAAGUUGCUCACCGCCGUCUGGACUCUCUUCGCCUAUGCCGCCGCCGUCCUCCCGCACUUACUUGCUGCCUUGCUUGUACCGUGAUGAGGGCGUGCUGGUUGUGUGUGCUUGUUUGCGCCAUACAUGAUUGGCUGUUGUUUAUGUGUGCGUGCUUGCUGACUGCUGGCAAACUGCUGAGUAAAUCGAUAGUCAUGCAGGAGGCAAGGCUAGCUCGAGUAAAGUAAAGUGAUGGUCGUUCGGUCCUCGAGAAAUAUGCAUGGACGCAACAAAUGGGCAGUGUUUUGAUUUCAUCUCCAUUCAAUUCAUUGU